GAUGAACGCUGGCGGCAUGCCUAAUACAUGCAAGUCGAACGAGAGGAAGGAAAGCUUGCUUUUCUGAAUCUAAUGGCGAACGGGUGAGUAACACGUAGGUAACCUGCCCAUGUGCCCGGGAUAACUUCUGGAAACGGAUGCUAAAACCGGAUAGGUAGCAGACAAGCAUUUGACUGCUAUUAAAGUGGCUAAGGCCAUGAACAUGGAUGGACCUGCGGUGCAUUAGCUAGUUGGUGAGGUAACGGCCCACCAAGGCGACGAUGCAUAGCCGGCCUGGGGGGGCGGAAGGCCACAUUGGGACUGAGACACGGCCCAAACUACUACGGGAGGCAGCAGUAGGGAAUUUUCGUCAAUGGGGGGAACCCUGAACGGGCAAUGCCGCGUGAGUGAGGAAGGUCUUCGGAUCGUGAAGCUCUGUUGUAAGAGAAAAACGACAUUCAUAGGGAAUGAUGAGUGAGUGAUGGUAUCUUACCAGAAAGUCACGGCUAACUACGUGCCAGCCGCCGCAGUAACAC
rnacentral:rRNA from 1 species